GAGGAGGUGGGUGGAGUGGUCCAAGUGGUGGCUAUGGAGGAGGAGGGAGGAAGAGAUCUGCCUCUGGAGAAGCUGGAGGUCCAUCAGGGAAGAAGAGGAAGUGUGGGCUGUGUGGAGUAGAAGGUCACACAAAACGAACAUGCCCUCACAAGGACCCUGGUUGACUUGCACCAAUGAACAGCUUUUGUAUAUUGUGUACAUGUUGCUUAGUUGUAUCUAACAGUGUAAAUAUGUAUAGGAUUGUAAAUAUGUAUUGGAUUGGCAUGAAAUAAAAAUGAAGUGUA